AAAAAUUCCGUUAUGGUGGGCUUGGUGAGCAACAGCUGGGUUUUGUUUCUACGGUUCCUUGCAGCAAUCCGCUACUGGUCUUGUCUUGGAGUGCAUGGUUUUGCUUAAAUCAGUUGGUGUCAUCUUUUGGUGGUCUGCAUUUAGAAGGUUGCUGUGGUGUGCUGGUCUAUGAAUUUUUGGUUUUGCUGGUCCGAGCUGUUUUAUUUCCAUCUGCUGGCCGCUUGUUUUGCUGGUUUUGCUUCUUGUUGUCUUGGAGUUUUUGUCAUGGCUGUUUUGUACCUUGGUUAUUUGUAUCUCUGUCAGGUUUUGAUACUUAACAUGCCAUAUGGGUGUUGUUGGGGAGGUCUAUCGACCGGAUUUAAAUGAAUGUGGGCAUGUUAAGUUUUUCUCCGACUCUCAUUAUUAAUAAAUUUCUCUUACUUAUAUAAAGGAAAG
rnacentral:misc_RNA from 1 species